UCCUUUUGUGCUCCUUUGGACUUUGUGGAUGUAAGGAAAGGAUCUCCAAAACACCAAAAGUUUGGGGUCUCUAAGUCUCCACACCAAGGGUUAAGUCUGAAGAUGAAAUGGAUGACUUAGGGAAGAAGAGAUUGCUAGAUUAAUCUCCCUAAGUGGCCGGCCUCUUUGUAGAGAGAGAGAGAAAAUGUUUCACCUCUUUGCCUCAAAGAAAACCCUAAUGAGAAAAUAGCUAUAAAGUUGCUUUUAUAACACUUUUCUUUGGUGAGUGGCAAACUUGCAAUUAAGCAAACUUUCACCAUCUCCUCACCAUGGCCGACCUAUAUGUUGUGAUUGGGCUUAUUGCCCAUUUUGUUUUAGUUGUCAUACAACUUAAACAUAAUGGGCCUUAUGGACUAAAACACUUUUGGGCCCCAAAACCCAAAACCAACUUAAAAGCCCAAUACGAACCUUUCGUAUAAUUAAUUAACUAAUUAAUUAAUCUUGACCAUUCUUCAAUUAAACCAUUUAAUUGCAUAUCCAUUUCAUUUAAUUUCUUCACUAUCGCCCUUACUCGGUGUACGAUCCAUUAGGUUCCAAUUAGCGACGUAGUGGGCGAUUGUUACUCUUAACGAUCGAUUGUGAAUUGAAACCACAUUUCAAUUCUCCCUUUAUGAUUAGUGUUUGCUAGUCAUUAGGGCUUCCACAAACCAUGGGUGACACCUAGCAGUAUGUCAUGGUUACCCAAGCUAAGUAGAAUUGGUUAGAGAACCUAUGCAGUUACAACUACAAUGCAAUACGGUCAUUCUCUAAUACAAUACUCUUAAUCGCAUUGUUUAAGUGAUAGUUUGUUUCAUGUCUACUAUCCAAUGUGAUACUUUUCUAUAUGAUUCCUUUGAAUAUGAAUUGGAACAAACUUCCUAAGUCAUAUUCAUUUGCUUUGGCCAAAGACUUACGAAUCAUAUCUUAGAGUAUUCUCCUUCCACCAUGGAAGGUUAGAGAUCCCUUGUUGUGUAUUCAUAUGCCUACAUGACUAGAUAGCUUGACCCCAACAAUGUCGUGGACACUCCGAUGGAAUGCUGUUGACAUGAUCAAAGAUCAAGGACCUAACCAUUAGACAUCUAUGAUGCCUCAGGUCAAAGGACUACUUUGCAUAUUGUAACUUUCGAGUUCUUACAUGACAUGUAUGUUCGAACUCUCUUUCGAUCGUUGUUCAGUGUACUCGAUUACUCUUUCGAGCACCUAUGUGUUUGUCUUAGUGUCCAACACCAAAUGACUUGAGACUAGCCAUACUCAAGCUUGAGUUGACAUAACACAUACUAACCUUAGCGGAUUGUCAAUACCCAAUUGGCAAUCCUAUCGCUAGGAACGUUUUAGGAAUGAACAUAAGAGAAUGGUCUCGAUAAUCUAACUGACUUAGAUCACUUGUCUCUUAGAUCAAAUACAUCCCUUGGAUUCCCUUAUUACUUAAACACAUGAUACAAUAAAUAGUGAUCAACAAUAAGCUUUGCCCUUCAUUAAACAUAUAAAAGUUUAAUACAUUAAGUAUUCCAAAAAGCUAUUACAUCAAAUGAGUGGCUUUGUGGGCAUACUUCCAACAAUUUCUAGCCCCUAAGUUGUUGUGAUCACCACCAAAUCAUUGUCCAUUGCGGAUCUCUUUGAUAAGGUCGGAGUCAUCAAGGCGCACUUGAUAAACAUGGCCCAUUCUAUCAUUCUUAAGGCUCACAAGGAUUGGCAGUAGAUAGUCCAUCUCGACUGGGAUAGACCUGAAAGUUUGAUGGAAGUGACCCAAAAAUGUUCGAAUGUUGAGGUGUCAGAGGUGGUAGAUGUGUAUAAUAAGGUGAAAAAAGGGAGCCGCUUAAGCUUUAUGGAGGUAAAAUGAAGGCUACGAGAUGACAAAAGUCCAGGCAAGAGAUCGUCAAUCUUUGUAAGUUUGUAGGCGAGUAUGAGGCUUCGGGUUUGUCGAGCCAACAUAAGCUGCUAGGAAAAAUGAGGCAAUUGUUCCAAGGAAAGGUAAGGAGAAAGUGUCAAAUAAACCGAUUGAAUGAGAGAUACCCUUUAGGAGAAAAAUCCACACGC
rnacentral:lncRNA from 1 species